CAAGUUUCUGGAGCUGUUGUCGUAUGUGGGUCAGGCAUAUGACACAGAUCAGAAGAAAGCAAGGAGGUAUACCAUGAGACUCCACUCUAGGUAUUCCUCUUUGAUCCUUGCAGCAGAGAGGGAGAGCUUCCAUGCCAUUGUGGAUGCAGCACGAAAGAUGGAGGCUAGUGCCAUCAUUGAGGGGUUAGUUAAGCAGACAGUGGCACAGUCUUCGAGUUUCAAGACCC
rnacentral:lncRNA from 1 species